GGAUGAUGGGUGGAUAGAUUGAUUGUCAUAAACCUUUUAGGUGCCCAACCCAUGUCUGCAUACAAAAUAAAAAUGAAAAUGCCCUAUGCAUCCACACGAUCAAUCAUCCUACAGUCAUUGUCUGUGUACCUGACUCUCACUCCUAUACCCUCUUAGCUUUGUACACCCAUUUGCCCAUCCUCACCCACUCCAAUGCCUCCUCACAUUGCCAUGUAUGUUCUGUUUUUAAGACUUCUUCUCUCAUUCUUUUCUCUUCUUCAUCUCUGACAGGGUGAUGUCGGCCGUGCUAGGGUUACUGGACUGCCUGCAUGUAGCUGCACUGGAAAGUCCAGGUGUAACUGUGAUGGAGUUAAAGGCAGUAAGGGGGACAGUGGAUACCCAGGGUUACCUGGGGUGCUGGGAGCUGCUGGAUUGCCAGUAAGUGCUGCCAAUAUCGUGUCAAAUGUCACUAAGCACCUUACUUUACCUGUCAUCAAUCACGGUCGUCAAUCAUGUGAUCUCAAUCAUUAUCCUAUGAUAUUUCAAUUGAUAAAUAAGGUUUCCAAGAGUGAACAAACUACAUUUUAAUGAAAUAACAUUUAAAUGUAUUUGUUUAUCUUCUCGUGAGUGUUGUCUAUGAACUAAUGACAGUUGAACAUGCAAAUGUGUUUAAUACAUUUUUUAAACAAGAUCCCCAUGUCAUGCCCUGAUUUGUUUCACCUGUCCUUGUGAUUGUUUCCACCCUCCUCCAGGUGUUGCCCAUCUUCCCCAUUAUCCCCUGUGUAUUUAUACCUGUGUUCUCUGUUUGUCCGUUGCCAGUUUGUCUUGUUUGUCAAGUCGACCAGCGUUUUUGUUCUCAGCUCCUGCUUUUCCCAGUCUCUCCUUUUUCUCGCCCUCCUGGUUUUGACCCUUGCCUGUCCUGACUCCGAGCCUGCCUGCCUGACCACUCUGCCUACCCCUGACCCUGAGCCUGCCUGCCGACCUGUACCUUUGCGCCACCUCUGGCUUGUUGACCUCUGCCUACCCUGACCCUGCCGUCCGGUACAAUUGCCCCACCUCUGGUUUACUGACCCCUGCCUGCCUUGACCUGUCUAUUGCCUGCCCCUGUUGGACUAUUAAACCAUUGUCAAUUCAACGUGUCUGCAUCUGGGUCGUAGCUUGAUUCCUGACACCCCAUGUUCAGUCCUAUGAAAAUGUCAUCGGCUAUGGUGUAACCACAAAGCACCUUACCUCACCUGUCUGAAUACAUCACCGUAAAAGCUAGACAUCAUCACAGCUGUCUCGCAUGUGAUCUCAAUCAUGAUAAUCAUAUAUAUGUAGCUGUCCAUCCUUCCUUCCAGUUUCUUCCCCCACAGUGGUAGAUACAGUACAAUAGUGUCAGGUCUUGUUUAGCUUUUACAGUAAACUUGUGAUGUGCAGCUCACACUUAUCUUUCUUUCUUAAAGAGCUUUCAUGGAUUGCCAGGACUUAAUGUACAAUAAGUGUGUGUGUGUGUGUGUGUGUGUGUGUGUGUGUGUGUGUGUGUGUGUGUGUGUGUGUGU
rnacentral:lncRNA from 8 species